UUACUUAACCCUUUCCUCCAUGGAUUUUUUUUCUUCACAUACUUGAUUCGCAUAAGGAUUUUUUUCAAUAAAAAAAAUCAUCAGGUUUAAAGUAUUUAUGCAUUGUGAAAAUGAAUAUUUCAUCAAUGAAAUUCAAGUCAGAUAUUCUCAUAAAUAUUCUUUUCAUAUUGGAUACAAACAUUUUUAAGUCUGAUGCAGACAUUUUGUAGUCUAAGCAUUUCAACUGAGGUACUACACAGGCGUCAAAAGGCGUCAUUAUGAAGUAAAGGGGGUGGCGUCAAAAAGCGUCAUUAUGGAGGAAAGGGUUAAACUAAAGUUAUAGUGCGAAAACCAAGAAAAUGCUUAUUUGGGCCCUUUUUGGCCCCUAAUUCCUAAAAUGUUGGGACCAAAACUCUCAAAACCAAUCCCAACCUUCCUUUUGUGGUCAUAAACCUUGUGUUAAAAUUUCAAAGAUUUCAAUUCACUUUUACUGAAGUUAGAGUGCGAAAACUAAAAGUAUUCGGACGACGACGCCAACGUGAUACCAAUAUACGACCAAAAAAUUUUCAAUUUUUGCGGUCGUAUAAAAAU
rnacentral:lncRNA from 1 species